UGUUACAUGUUUCCUGUCAAGUUACAUGUGAGAGAACACUGCCAGAUGUGAAGGAAGAGAGAGAGUGUCCUGUGUGUGCUGCAGUGGAUGUUUAACUUAGGGAAUGGAGCACACAUGGCCACAUGGUGGAAGGACUAUGGUUUCUCCAUCCUCACCUCCUCUUCCCAAGGGCAACUGACCUUCUCCUCUCCAAAACAGAUAUCUUUCAUGCCCUUGGUUAAAUUUAUUCUGGGUGAUGGGAGAGCAGAUCUUGGCCUCACUGUUAAAUUGUUAAGACUCUUCGUGUCCCAUUUGGAGUGCCUGGGUUCAAUACCCGAUUUCACUACUUACUCCAGCUUCCUGCUAAUCCAGACCCUCAGAGGCAAUGAGAUUGAACCCAGGAGUGCAGUGGAGGUUAGCCCAAGUGCUUGGGCCCUGCACCCCAUGGGAGACCAUGAG